rnacentral:ncRNA from 2 species
GAUAACUUUUAUGUUACAGGUGCCCUUAACGGGAGAAUAGGGAAUCAGGUACUUAUCCUGAGCGGACCCACCACUGUGAAGAGAGAGUCUUGUACACUGGCCACUGGCUUUCGCUGGGAAGGCGUACAGAGAUGAUGACCUUUGAGCCAGAAGACCUGCCUGUAAUGUUGAUUAGUU